AUACGUAGGGUGCAAGCGUUAAUCGGAAUUACUGGGCGUAAAGCGUGCGCAGGCGGUUUUGUAAGACAGAGGUGAAAUCCCCGGGCUCAACCUGGGAACUGCCUUUGUGACUGCAAGGCUAGAGUACGGCAGAGGGGGAUGGGAUUCCGCGGGUAGCAGUGAAAAGCGUAGAUAUGCGGAGGAACACCGAUGGCGAAGGCACUCCCCUGGGCCUGUACUGACGCUCAUGCACGAAAGCGUGGGGAGCAAACAGGAUUAGAUACCCUGGUAGUCCACGCCCUAAACGAUGUCAACUGGUUGUUGGGUCUUCAUUGACUCAGUAACGAAGCUAACGCGUGAAGUUGACCGCCUGGGGAGUACGGCCGCAAGGUUGAAACUCAAAUGAAUUGGCGGGG
rnacentral:rRNA from 1 species